GAGGAUGAAGAUUAAUUCUGUUGUUGGCUCGUACCUUGAUCCUCUUGCAGACAAGGUAUAGUCUUUUGAUCUAGUAUGUGUUUUGUUUUGGCUCAUUAUUGGAUGUUCUCUGAAUGUGUUUAGGGGUUAAGAUUGGUUUUACGUUUCAAGCUGAAGACAUGUGUGAGCUGGACUGGUUGGUAUUGUGGUGUUACGGGAUGUUGCACUCGUCGGUGGUGCAGUUUACCUAAGGGCACUAAAUUUGGACUGGAAGUGGAAGAGUUGGAGUGAUUACUUCAACCUCGAUGCUUCAAGCCCUCAGAAAGUAGAACCAUUGUUUAUAAGCAAGGUAUGAUCUCUAGGUGACAGCUUGUUCUCAUCUUGGCAUCUUUGACAUGCGUUAUUGGGUAGUUAAUAGAACAUAUUCAU